UACAGAGGGUGCGAGCGUUGUCCGGAAUCACUGGGCGUAAAGGGCGCGUAGGUGGCGCGACAAGUCAGUGGUGAAAGCUCGACGCUCAACGUCGAGUCGGCCACUGAUACUGUUGGGCUUGAGCACUGUAGAGGCUAAUGGAAUUCCGGGUGUAGCGGUGGAAUGCGUAGAGAUCCGGAAGAACACCGGUGGCGAAGGCGACUUCCUGGCCUGUUCUUGACGCUGAGGCGCGAAAGCUAGGGGAGCAAACGGG
rnacentral:rRNA from 1 species